rnacentral:rRNA from 1 species
AAUACCGGUGAAGAUGCCGGUUACCUGCAGCAAGACAGAAAGACCCCAGAAGCUUUACUAUAGCUUGAGACUGCACUUACGCGACUACUGCGUAGCAUAGAUGGGAGACUUUGAAGGGUUGUUUUCGGAUGAUCUGGAGUCAACAGUGAAAUACCAUUCUGUAUUUGUGUAAGUGCUAACCUCGUUGGUAAAAACGACGAGGGACCCUCUCUGGUGGGUAGUUUGUUUGGGGCGAAUCCCUCCUAAAAAGUAACGGAGGGGCCUAUUAAGGUUCCCUAGGUACGAAUGGAAACCGUGCCGAUAGGGUAAUGCCACAAGGGAGCCUAACUGUGAGACGUGCAUGUCAAACAGAUGCGAAAGCAGAGCAUAGUGAACCGACGGUUCGCGUUAGAUGCGACCGAAGAUUAACGGAUAAAAGCUAC